GAAGGAGAUGGCCGAUGGGUGGUGGACAAAGUAGAAGCAAGGAGGAGGAGGAACGCCACGGGAGCGAGGGAGAUGCAAACAAGUGUUUGUAGCGUCUUGUGAGAAGGGGUUGGUGGUUGGGGUCGGGGGAUGACUGUUGGGGCCACAUGUCAGUGAGAAAGAGGUUUGGGAUGAUGGGUGGGGUCCACUAGUAAGUGAGAGAGAUGGAAAAGAGGAGGCGUGCUAUUGAGUGGGUCCCGCAUGCCACGUCAGAAAAAAAACCCACCUUGAAAACCAUUUUGAACUAUUGAAGAGGGGUUAUUUGUCCAGCUUUGAAGAGUUGUGGGUGUAUUGUGUCCGGUUUUGAGUUCAGGGGGUCUUCCAAAUUUCAUGGCAAGGUGAGAGGGUAAAAUAGACUUUACUCUAUAUAAUGUAGUGGAAUGAAAUAUUCUCAUGUUGCUUUUGGUAUAGAGAUUUAUUCCUCUAUAAUGAAAUAGGACCUCCUGCCCUCUCUUUUUCCUAAAGAAAUUUGACAACAUUAGUUAUACAUUGCAUUGUACAAAUCUUAUUC
rnacentral:lncRNA from 1 species